rnacentral:rRNA from 1 species
GACGAACGCUGGCGGCGUGCUUAACACAUGCAAGUCGAACGCUGAAGACCUGGCUUUUGUUGGGUUGGAUGAGUGGCGAACGGGUGAGUAACACGUGAGUAACCUGCCCUCUUCUUUGGGAUAACGCCCGGAAACGGGUGCUAAUACUGGAUAUUCACUGAUCUUCGCAUGGGGGUUGGUGGAAAGGUUUGUUCUGGUGGGGGAUGGGCUCGCGGCCUAUCAGCUUGUUGGUGGGGUGAUGGCCUACCAAGGCUUUGACGGGUAGCCGGCCUGAGAGGGUGACCGGUCACAUUGGGACUGAGAUACGGCCCAGACGCCUACGGGAGGCAGCAGUGGGGAAUAUAGCACAAUGGGCGAAAGCCUGAUGCAGCGACGCCGCGUGAGGGAUGGAGGCCUUCGGGUUGUAAACCUCUUUCGCUCAUGGUCAAGCCGCAACUGUGGGUUGUGGUGAGGGUAGUGGGUAAAGAAGCGCCGGCUAACUACGUG